UCCACAAGGUUGUCACCUAAACUUGCUCCUGCAAAGGGGGAAACGAAGCCAAAAAAGACAGCAGGAAAGGAUAAAUCUUCAGACAAAAAAGCACAAACAAAAAGCAAAACUGGUAGCAAAGGGAAAACAGGACAAAGUAGCUAACCAAGAAACUAAGAUUUACCUGCAGAAAAUGGAGAAACGACAAACGAGGAGGGUUCAGCCUCCAACGCAGCAAGAGAGAAAGAAG
rnacentral:lncRNA from 1 species